rnacentral:rRNA from 1 species
UACGUAGGGGGCUAGCGUUGUCCGGAUUUAUUGGGCGUAAAGAGCGUGUAGGCGGCUAGAUAGGUCCGUUGUGAAAACUCGAGGCUCAACCUCGAGACGCCGAUGGAAACCAUGUGGCUAGAGUCCGGAAGAGGAGAGUGGAAUUCCUGGUGUAGCGGUGAAAUGCGCAGAUAUCGACCGGAACUCCGGUGGCGAAGGCGAGGCGCUGGACCCUUUCUGACGCUGAGGCGCGAAAGCCAGGGGAGCAAACGGG